rnacentral:rRNA from 1 species
UCAGACGAUGCGUCAUGCAUAUCAAUAAGCGGAGGAAAAGAAACUAACAAGGAUUCCCCUAGUAACGGCGAGUGAAGCGGAAAGAGCUCAAAUUUGAAAUCUUAAAGGGUUUCCCUUCACGAAUUGUAGUUUAAAGAAGUGUUUUCUGUUGAGGUUUUGGUAAAAGUUCUUUGGAAUAGGACAUCAUAGAGGGUGAGAAUCCCGUAUUUGACCUUUACUUUCAACUUUGUGAUACACUUUCAAAGAGUCGGAUUGUUUGGGAAUGCAGUCCAAAAUGGGUGGUAAAUUUCAUCUAAAGCUAAAUAUUGGCGAGAGACCGAUAGCGAACAAGUACCGUGAGGGAAAGAUGAAAAGAACUUUGAAAAGAGAGUUAAACAGUACGUGAAAUUGUCAAAAGGGAAGCGUUUGACACCAGUGUUGUUUUUCUGAAAAUCAAUUAAAGAACUGUUUAUGCUAAGUUGUUUAGACUUUAUCAGCUAACUGUUUAGUUUUGAGCUUUUCUUUAAUGCACUUUUCAGUUAACAAGUCAACAUCAAUUUCUUUUGCUGUAAAAAAGCUUGAGGAAGGUGGCUUGAGAUUCGUCUUAAGUGUUUAUAGCCUCUUGCCUAUGCAGUCGGAGAGAUUGAGGUCUGCAGCGUAGAUCCUUCGGGGCUAAAUGCAUUUGUGCUAAGUUAUAGCAUUUUAUAGACAACUUGUUGACUAUGAUUUGUCUUGUAGCUUACUCGCUUAUGUUAUUUUACCUACGCUUAGGAUGUUGAAGAUGUAGCACAUCAU